rnacentral:rRNA from 1 species
GACGUAGGGCGCGAGCGUUGUCCGGAUUUAUUGGGCGUAAAGAGCUCGUAGGCGGCUUGUUGCGUCGUCCGUGAAAACCUGUGGCUCAACUACAGGCUUGCGGUCGAUACGGACGGGCUGGAGUUCGGUAGGGGAGACUGGAAUUCCUGGUGUAGCGGUGAAAUGCGCAGAUAUCAGGAGGAACACCGGUGGCGAAGGCGGGUCUCUGGGCCGAUACUGACGCUGAGGCACGAAAGCGUGGGGAGCAAACAGG